AGUGAACGCUGGCGGUAGGCCUAACACAUGCAAGUCGAACGGCAGCACAGUAAGAGCUUGCUCUUACGGGUGGCGAGUGGCGGACGGGUGAGGAAUACAUCGGAAUCUACUUUUUCGUGGGGGUUAACGUAGGGAAACUUACGCUAAUACCGCAUACGACCUACGGGUGAAAGCAGGGGAUCUUCGGACCUUGCGCGAUUGAAUGAGCCGAUGUCGGAUUAGCUAGUUGGCGGGGUAAAGGCCCACCAAGGCGACGAUCCGUAGCUGGUCUGAGAGGAGGAUCAGCCACACGGGAACUGAGACACGGUCCAGACUCCUACGGGAGGCAGCAGUGGGGAAUAUUGGACAAUGGGCGCAAGCCUGAUCCAGCCAUACCGCGUGUGUGAAGAAGGCCUUCGGGUCGUAAAGCCCUUUUGUUGGGAAAGAAAAGCAGCAGGUUAAUACCCCGCUGUUCUGACGGUACCCAAAGAAUAAGCACCGGCUAACUUCGUG
rnacentral:rRNA from 1 species